AGCGAACGCUGGCGGCAGGCCUAACACAUGCAAGUCGAACGGUCCUUCGGGACAGUGGCGGACGGGUGAGUAACACGUGGGAACGUGCCCUUUGGUUCGGAACAACUCAGGGAAACUUGAGCUAAUACCGGAUGUGCCCUUCGGGGAAAGGAUUUAUUGCCAUUGGAGCGGCCCGCGUCUGAUUAGCUAGUUGGUGAGGUAAAGGCUCACCAAAGGCUACGAUCAGUAGCUGGUCNG
rnacentral:rRNA from 1 species